rnacentral:rRNA from 1 species
UGGAUCCUGAGUACGACGGAGCACGUGAAAUUCCGUCGGAAUCUGGGAGGACCAUCUCCUAAGGCUAAAUACUCUCUAGUGACCGAUAGUGAACCAGUACCGUGAGGGAAAGGUGAAAAGCACCCCGGAAGGGGAGUGAAAUAGAACCUGAAACCGUGUGCUUACAAGUAGUCAGAGCCCGUUAAUGGGUGAUGGCGUGCCUUUUGUAGAAUGAACCGGCGAGUUACGAUUUGAUGCAAGGUUAAGCAGUAAAUGUGGAGCCGUAGCGAAAGCGAGUCUGAAUAGGGCGUUUAGUAUUUGGUCGUAGACCCGAAACCAGGUGAUCUACCCUUGGUCAGGUUGAAGUUCAGGUAACACUGAAUGGAGGACCGAACCGACUUACGUUGAAAAGUGAGCGGAUGAACUGAGGGUAGCGGAGAAAUUCCAAUCGAACCUGGAGAUAGCUGGUUCUCUCCGAAAUAGCUUUAGGGCUAGCCUCAAGUGAUGAUUAUUGGAGGUAGAGCACUGUUUGGACGAGGGGCCCCUCUCGGGUUACCGAAUUCAGACAAACUCCGAAUGCCAAUUAAUUUAACUUGGGAGUCAGAACAUGGGUGAUAAGGUCCGUGUUCGAAAGGGAAACAGCCCAGACCACCAGCUAAGGUCCCAAAAUAUAUGUUAAGUGGAAAAGGAUGUGGCGUUGCCCAGACAACUAGGAUGUUGGCUUAGAAGCAGCCAUCAUUUAAAGAGUGCGUAAUAGCUCACUAGUCGAGUGACACUGCGCCGAAAAUGUACCGGGGCUAAACAUAUUACCGAAGCUGUGGAUUGUCCUUUGGACAAUGGUAGGAGAGCGUUCUAAGGGCGUUGAAGCAUGAUCGUAAGGACAUGUGGAGCGCUUAGAAGUGAGAAUGCCGGUGUGAGUAGCGAAAGACGGGUGAGAAUCCCGUCCACCGAUUGACUAAGGUUUCCAGAGGAAGGCUCGUCCGCUCUGGGUUAGUCGGGUCCUAAGCUGAGGCCGACAGGCGUAGGCGAUGGAUAACAGGUUGAUAUUCCUGUACCACCUAUAAUCGUUUUAAUCGAUGGGGGGACGCAGUAGGAUAGGCGAAGCGUGCGAUUGGAUUGCACGUCUAAGCAGUAAGGCUGAGUAUUAGGCAAAUCCGGUACUCGUUAAGGCUGAGCUGUGAUGGGGAGAAGACAUUGAGUCUUCGAGUCGUUGAUUUCACACUGCCGAGAAAAGCCUCUAGAUAGAAAAUAGGUGCCCGUACCGCAAACCGACACAGGUAGUCAAGAUGAGAAUUCUAAGGUGAGCGAGCGAACUCUCGUUAAGGAACUCGGCAAAAUGACCCCGUAACUUCGGGAGAAGGGGUGCUCUUUAGGGUUAACGCCCAGAAGAGCCGCAGUGAAUAGGCCCAAGCGACUGUUUAUCAAAAACACAGGUCUCUGCUAAACCGUAAGGUGAUGUAUAGGGGCUGACGCCUGCCCGGUGCUGGAAGGUUAAGAGGAGUGGUUAGCUUCUGCGAAGCUACGAAUCGAAGCCCCAGUAAACGGCGGCCGUAACUAUAACGGUCCUAAGGUAGCGAAAUUCCUUGUCGGGUAAGUUCCGACCCGCACGAAAGGCGUAACGAUUUGGGCACUGUCUCAACGAGAGACUCGGUGAAAUCAUAGUACCUGUGAAGAUGCAGGUUACCCGCGACAGGACGGAAAGACCCCGUGGAGCUUUACUGUAGCCUGAUAUUGAAAUUCGGCACAGCUUGUACAGGAUAGGUAGGAGCCUUUGAAACGUGAGCGCUAGCUUACGUGGAGGCGCUGGUGGGAUACUACCCUAGCUGUGUUGGCUUUCUAACCCGCACCACUUAUCGUGGUGGGAGACAGUGUCAGGCGGGCAGUUUGACUGGGGCGGUCGCCUCCUAAAAGGUAACGGAGGCGCUCAAAGGUUCCCUCAGAAUGGUUGGAAAUCAUUCAUAGAGUGUAAAGGCAUAAGGGAGCUUGACUGCGAGACCUACAAGUCGAGCAGGGUCGAAAGACGGACUUAGUGAUCCGGUGGUUCCGCAUGGAAGGGCCAUCGCUCAACGGAUAAAAGCUACCCCGGGGAUAACAGGCUUAUCUCCCCCAAGAGUUCACAUCGACGGGGAGGUUUGGCACCUCGAUGUCGGCUCAUCGCAUCCUGGGGCUGUAGUCGGUCCCAAGGGUUGGGCUGUUCGCCCAUUAAAGCGGUACGCGAGCUGGGUUCAGAACGUCGUGAGACAGUUCGGUCCCUAUCCGUCGUGGGCGUAGGAAAUUUGAGAGGAGCUGUCCUUAGUACGAGAGGACCGGGAUGGACAUACCUCUGGUGUACCAGUUGUCGUGCCAAC